CCUGACUGACCCAGUGCUUCCCUGCGUGGUCCUGCAUGGCGUGGUAUGUCCCCUCCUCUAGGGAACUGAAAUUCAUCAUGCAAUGGCCUUCAACCCAUCUGAACAUUUUCUCUGGCUACAGAAAAUGCCUGGGUCGUGCCCCGAAAUGAAUCUUCUUUUCAAAGAGAAACGGUAGGAUUUACAGCAGCCUACUCUAAAAGCCACCUUCGUCUACCACAGGCUCAGCCAUAAAGCAAGUCUCAGUAGAUUCAAAAGAAUUAAACUCAUACCAACCAUACUCUCAGACCACAGUGGACUAAAAUUAGAAAUCAACACCAAGAAGAUCUCUCAAAACCACACAAUUACAUGGAAAUUAAAUGACCUGCUCCUGAAUGACUUUUGGGUAAACAAUGAAAUUAAGGCAGAGAUCACAAAUUAUUUGAAAUAAGUGAAAACAGAGACAUAACAUACCAAAAUCUCUGAGAUGCAGCAAAAGCAGUGGUAAGAAGAAUGUUUAGAGUGCUAAAUGCCUACCUCAAAAAGUUAGAAAGAUCUCAUAUUAAUAAUCUUAUCACCACUCCUAGAGGAAGUAGAAAAACAAGAUCAAACCAACUCCAAAGUUAGCAAAAGAAAAGAAACAGCUAUAAAAUCAGAACAGAACAGAACAAAAUUGAGAUCCAAAAUCCAUACAAAGAAUCAAUGAAACCAAAAGUUCAUUAUUUGAAAGGAUAAAUGAGAUUAAUAGACCACUAGCUAGAUUAAAAAAGAAAGAGAGACGAUCCAAAUAAGCACAAUCAGAAAUGAUGAAGGUGACAUUAUAACUGAUUCCACAGAAAUAUAAAAUAUCUUCAGAGACUAUUAUGAACACUUCUAGGCACACAAACUAGAAAAUCUAGAGGAAAUGAAUAAGUUCCUGGAAACUCACAAUUUCCCAAGAUUCAAUUAGGAAGAAACUGAAACCCUGAACAGAACAAUAUCAAGAUCUGAAAUUGAAGGAGUAAUAAAAAACCUACCAACCAAUAAAAGCCCUGAAAAGAUGGAUUCACAGCCAAAUUCUAUUAGAUGUACAAAGAAGAGCUGGUACCAAUCCUGCUGAAACUAUUCCAAAAAAUUGAGGAGGGACUCCUCUCUAAUUUGUUCUUUGAAAUCAGCAUAACACCAAUACCAAAACCUGGCAAAGAUACAAUAAAAAGAAAAUGUGGCACAUAUACACCAUGGAAUACUAUGCAGCCAUGAAAAAUGAAGAGUUCAUGUCCUUUG
rnacentral:lncRNA from 1 species